UACGGGGGGAGCAAGCGUUGUUCGGAUUUACUGGGCGUAAAGGGCGCGUAGGCGGUCAGCACAAGUCAGUUGUGAAAUCUCCGGGCUUAACUCGGAAAGGUCAACUGAUACUGUGCGACUAGGGUGCAGAAGGGGCAACUGGAAUUCUCGGUGUAGCGGUGAAAUGCGUAGAUAUCGAGAGGAACACCUGCGGCGAAGGCGGGUUGCUGGGCUGACACUGACGCUGAUGCGCGAAAGCCAGGGGAGCGAACAGG
rnacentral:rRNA from 1 species